CAUCAAUCAAAGCCAUGAAGCGCAAACACCAUGGCUAACCCUCCAGAGCCGCUAAUCCAACCUAACUUUCAACUGACUGGUGGAUUAGCUUGUUGGUCUUAUCACCUGCAAAAUCUGCCUCAUCAUAUAGGAAGGUUUAGGCAGGUUUACUCUCAUGAAUAGAACCAAGUAGCAUCCACGGGCAGGGUGAAACCCCAAAGCUGAAAGUCGAUGCAGACGCUGAAUUAAUUUUUACUCUCCAAAUACUGCAUAAAACAUCAGAAGAACACUGCAGACAUGCCAAAAAUACUUCAAUCAUCAUAAUGGUAGCCUCCAAAAUUUAAUUUCAACAGAAGGUACAAACAUCGAUUAAUGGUAUUAUGCAGAUCAACAACUGCAUAUUCUAUCAACAACUGCAUAUUCUACAGAUACAGAAAGCGCAGACCUUCAGAUUUCUAUUUCUUUUACUCCCUCAAAGAACUAGUUUGUAUUUCAUGAACCAUAGAGCAAGCUCUUGUGGCAGCAGAACACAGAAAACUAUCAACCUGUUCCAUUAAAAGCA